UGGGGAAUAUUGCACAAUGGGCGCAAGCCUGAUGCAGCCAUGCCGCGUGUGUGAAGAAGGCCUUCGGGUUGUAAAGCACUUUCAGCGAGGAGGAAGGUGGUGAGCUUAAUACGCUCAUCAAUUGACGUUACUCGCAGAAGAAGCACCGGCUAACUCCGUGCCAGCAGCCGCGGUAAUACGGAGGGUGCAAGCGUUAAUCGGAAUUACUGGGCGUAAAGCGCACGCAGGCGGUUUGUUAAGUCAGAUGUGAAAUCCCCGGGCUCAACCUGGGAACUGCAUUUGAAACUGGCAAGCUAGAGUCUCGUAGAGGGGGGUAGAAUUCCAGGUGUAGCGGUGAAAUGCGUAGAGAUCUGGAGGAAUACCGGUGGCGAAGGCGGCCCCCCUGGACGAAGACUGACGCUCAGGUGCGAAAGCGUGGGGAGCAAAACAGGAUUAGAUACCCUGGUAGUCCACGCUGUAAACGAUGUCGAUUUGGAGGUUGUGCCCUUGAGGCGUGGCUUCCGGAGCUAACGCGUUAAAUCGACCGCCUGGGGAGUACGGCCGCAAGGUUAAAAACUU
rnacentral:rRNA from 1 species